GCUGCUGGAGGCUAGGCAGCAACAUCAUCUGGCUGAAGGGCUGCUGAGAUCAACUGGAGAUCUAGAGGGACAAGCUCACUCCUCCUUGUAUCCAAAAUGGUGAGCAUCUCAUAGGCAGUAGCUCUGUAAGCUUCAGCAAUUGUAACCUGUAACAGGGAACCCUAGCCCUGUUACCAGAAGGCAGGUAGGUCCCUUUAAGACCAGAACUUUCUGGAUGCAGCAUACUGGCCAGGUGGGGGUUAAAAGCUGAGCCUGGCCAGCUAUUCAGGUGACCGGAAGCGGGAAGGCCAAAACUAUAAAAACCCUGGCUGGGCAGCAGUAGGGGCAGCAGCCAAAGGGGAAGGAGUGCCUAUAAGAGCUCCAUGGAGAGGUUUGGUGAGCAGUCCAGCCGAUGCAGGAGGGGAACUACUGAGGACUCACAGAGAAGUGGUGGCAGCCCCAGAAGAAGGAUCAUAGCAGAUGAAUGGGAGCAGAAGCACAAACCCCUGAGAAAAUCAGUCUGGAACUACGAGAAGAGCAGUAAUUUUUACACGCCUGCUGGGUUUUCUUUUUAUCCAUGAAGAGGUAAAAUUUCCUUUCCUGGUUUUUCCAGCAAUCUGAGACAGUGCUGGAGUUCUUUGCUUGAAAAGAAAAUAAGACAGACUCAGGAAGCGUCCAUAUUCCUGUUGGGAAGAUGAGAUUUCUUGUGAUGCUGGAGUGCAUGGUGCACAAGAUGGUGAACUGUGUUCCACAUGGUUCCAGGAGGAACAGGAUUUGUCAACAGUCUGAGAAGAUUUCAUCUUACUCUUCUGAGAAACAUUAGUGGGAAAGGGGUUGCUAAACUGGGCAUCACUGAAUCCAGGAUCUGUUUGGUGGAUACUCAGGAAGUGAACUGACGAGCCACUGGGAACUAAUUAAGUAUUAUUAUAAAGGACAGAAAAUAACCACUAAUACCAUUCAGGGUUGAUGUCUGGGUCUGGAGAUCAUUACUUGUCCCUCUGCAGCUUUCCAAAGCUUCAUGCAAUUGGGUCCAAUUUUUCAGGAUUUCUUCUUGCUGACGAAGGGUCCUCGUCUGAUUUGCUACUUGGAGGUUACUCUGGAAGACUUAAACCCAUAGUAAUAUGAAAACACAUCUUUUCAGGACUAGGCAAAACUCAAGUCCAUAAAUGGCUUGUAUCUUUAGGUUGCUAAGAUCUGUGGGUAUUUUCUUCAAUUAAAAGAACCAGUGAAUAUGCAAAAUGUUUGGGGGUUUUUUUUGUUUUUUUUUUAAAGAGAAAUGUCUAUUUUUCAACCCUACCAGAAAGUGUUCUAAGAAAGAGAUGC